UACGAGGGGGGCGAGCGUUGUUCGGAAUUAUUGGGCGUAAAGGGUGCGUAGGCGGUUUGGUAAGUCUUGUGUGAAAUCUCCAGGCUCAACUUGGAGUCUGCACGAGAAACUGCCGGGCUUGAGUGUGGGAGAGGUGAGUGGAAUUCCUGGUGUAGCGGUGAAAUGCGCAGAUAUCAGGAGGAACACCGGUGGCGAAGGCGGGUCUCUGGGCCGAUAUUGACGCUGAGGAGCGAAAGCGUGGGGAGCAAACAGG
rnacentral:rRNA from 1 species